GCCAUGGAGAUAGCUCAGUCGCUGGAGCAUGAGACUCUUAAUGUCAGGGUUGUGGGUUCAAGUCUCACAUUGGGCA